rnacentral:rRNA from 1 species
GUGCCAGCAGCCGCGGUAAUACAGAGGUGGCAAGCGUUGUUCGGAAUUACUGGGCGUAAAGGGCGCGUAGGCGGCUUUUCAAGUCCCGUGUGAAAUCCCUCGGCUCAACUGAGGAAUUGCACGGGAAACUGUCUGGCUUGAGUUCGGGAGAGGGAAGCGGAAUUCCGGGUGUAGCGGUGAAAUGCGUAGAUAUCCGGAGGAACACCGGUGGCGAAGGCGGCUUCCUGGACCGAUACUGACGCUGAGGCGCGAAAGCUAGGGGAGCAAACGGGAUUAGAUACCCUCGUAGUCC